rnacentral:rRNA from 1 species
UACGGAGGGUGCAAGCGUUGCUCGGAAUUAUUGGGCGUAAAGGGUAGGUAGGUGGUCUUAUUUGUGUGGGGUGAAAGCCUUGGGCUUAACUCAAGAAGUGCCCCGCAAACGGUAAGACUGGAGUCUUGGAGAGGCUAGCGGAAUUCCCGGUGUAGCGGUGAAAUGCGUAGAGAUCGGGAGGAACACCUGUGGCGAAAGCGGCGCACUGGACCACUUCUGACGCUGAGGCGCGAAAGCUAGGGGAGCAAACAGG